rnacentral:rRNA from 1 species
UACGAAGGGGGCUAGCGUUGCUCGGAAUCACUGGGCGUAAAGCGCACGUAGGCGGGGCUUUAAGUCAGGGGUUAAAUCCCGGAGCUCAACUCCGGAACUGCCUUUGAUACUGGAGAUCUUGAGUCCGGGAGAGGUGAGUGGAACUCCGAGUGUAGAGGUGAAAUUCGCAGAUAUUCGGAAGAACACCAGUGGCGAAGGCGGCUCACUGGCCCGGUACUGACGCUGAGGUGCGAAAGCGUGGGGAGCAAACAGG